CUUGUUGUGCAGGACCGGUGCCGGGUGCUGCUGCGGUUCGCGGACCUGAUGGAGCGGCACAACGACGAGAUCGCGGCGCUGGAGUCGUGGGACGGCGGAAAGCCGCUGGAGCAGUCCGCCGGCGGGGAGGUGCCCAUGGCGGCGCGCUGCAUGCGGUACUACGCCGGGUGGGCGGACAAGAUCCACGGCAUGGUGGUGCCGGCCGACGGCCCGCACCACGUCCAGGUGCUGCGCGAGCCCAUCGGCGUCGCCGGCCAGAUCAUCCCCUGGAACUUCCCGCUGCUCAUGUUCGCCUGGAAGGUCGGCCCGGCGCUCGCCUGCGGCAACGCCGUCGUGCUCAAGACCGCCGAGCAGACGCCGCUCUCCGCGCUCUACGUCGCCAGCCUCCUCCACGAGGCCGGCCUCCCGGACGGCGUCCUCAACGUCGUCCCCGGCUUCGGCCCCACGGCCGGCGCCGCGCUGUGUAGCCACAUGGGCGUCGACAAGCUGGCGUUCACCGGAUCGACUGGCACGGGCAAGAUUAUUCUGGAGCUGGCGGCGAGUAGCAACCUGAAGCCGGUGACGCUGGAGCUCGGCGGCAAGUCUCCGUUCAUCGUCAUGGACGACGCCGAUGUCGACCAGGCCGUCGAGCUCGCGCACCGCGCGCUCUUCUUUAACCAGGGGCAAUGCUGCUGCGCUGGGUCUCGGACGUUCGUGCACGAGAGCGUGUACGACGAGUUCGUGGAGAAGUCCAAGGCUCGCGCUCAGAGGCGCGUGGUCGGCGACCCCUUCAAGAAAGGUGUCGAGCAGGGACCUCAGAUCGAUGGCCAGCAGUUCAAGAAGAUUCUGGGCUACGUCAAGUCGGGCGUCGACAGCGGCGCCACCCUCGUCACCGGCGGCGACAGGGUAGGCAGCAGGGGCUUCUACAUCCAGCCGACGGUCUUUGCAGACGUCGAGGACGAGAUGAAGAUCGCUCAGGAGGAGAUAUUCGGGCCCAUCCAGUCCAUCCUCAAGUUCAGGGAGGUGGGGGAGGUGGUGAGGAGGGCGAACGCGACGCACUACGGGCUGGCGGCGGGGGUGUUCACGAGGAGCCUGGACACGGCGAACGCGGUAGCGCGGGCGCUGAGGGCGGGGACGGUGUGGGUCAACUGCUACGACGUGUUCGACGCGGCCAUCCCCUUCGGCGGGUACAAGAUGAGCGGCGUGGGGCGGGAGAAGGGCGCCUACAGCCUCGGCAACUACCUCCAGACCAAGGCCGUCGUCGCGCCCCUCAGGGACCCGGCUUGGUUGUAG
rnacentral:rRNA from 1 species